rnacentral:lncRNA from 1 species
UUACGUAUGUAUGUCGUGGGGUACCUCGGCAAUAUCGUUUUGGACAGCUGCUACCGGUAACUUACAACACGGCCAGAACAUUUCGAUAAAGUCCUCCUCACACGGGAGAGCACUUGUGCGUCUCUUGUUAGCGGCUUUGUUAGCAGCUCCUCAGCGGGAUUCUGCAAACCUGGACGUAGACCGCCAGACGGCAGUUGCUUUUCUAACGACAUGUAGUUCCCCACCUUCCCCACCUUCCCC